rnacentral:rRNA from 1 species
UACGUAGGGUGCAAGCGUUGUCCGGAAUUAUUGGGCGUAAAGAGCUCGUAGGCGGUUUGUUGCGUCGGCUGUGAAAUCCCGAGGCUCAACCUCGGGUCUGCAGUCGAUACGAGCAAACUAGAGUGUUGCAGGGGAGACUGGGAAUUCCUGGUGUAGCGGUGAAAUGACGCAGAUAUCAGGAGGAACACCGGUGGCGAAGGCGGGGUCUCUGGGCCGUUACUGACGCUGAGGAGCGAAAGCAUGGGGGAGCGAACAGG